rnacentral:rRNA from 1 species
AGAGUUUGAUCCUGGCUCAGGAUGAACGCUAGCGGCAGGCCUAACACAUGCAAGUCGAACGGUAACAGUUCUUCCGGGAAGCUGACGAGUGGCGCACGGGUGCGUAACGCGUAUGCAAUCUGCCCUGUACUGGAGUAUAGCCCAGGGAAACUUGGAUUAAUCCUCCAUAGUCUAUAUGAUUGGCAUCAUUUAUAUAGUAAAGGUUACGGUACAAGAUGAGCAUGCGUCCUAUUAGCUAGUAGGUGUGGUAACGGCACACCUAGGCUUCGAUAGGUAGGGGUCCCGAGAGGGAGAUCCCCCACACUGGUACUGAGACACGGACCAGACUCCUACGGGAGGCAGCAGUGAGGAAUAUUGGACAAUGGGCGAAAGCCUGAUCCAGCCAUGCCGCGUGCAGGAAGACGGCCCUAUGGGUUGUAAACUGCUUUUAUACGGGAAGAAUAAGGCCUACGUGUAGGCUGAUGACGGUACCGUAAGAAUAAGCACCGGCUAACUCCGUGCCAGCAGCCGCGGUAAUACGGAGGGUGCAAGCGUUAUCCGGAAUCAUUGGGUUUAAAGGGUCCGUAGGUGGACUAAUAAGUCAGUGGUGAAAGUCUGCAGCUCAACUGUAGAAUUGCCAUUGAUACUGUUAGUCUUGAAUUGUUAUGAAGUAGCUAGAAUAUGUAGUGUAGCGGUGAAAUGCAUAGAU